GAAAGUUUCAUUGCUGUUCUCUAUUAUUUGCAGCAUUGGUUGCUUCCUUAUGUUAAGGCAUCAAAGUCUUCUUUAACAAUCUGGAUAUAUUUUAGUUAAGGGUAAAUCGUGAAUCCGUUAUCGGACAUCAACUCCUUAAUAGGGAACAGAACACUGAUGGGAUAUGACAUGGAACAGAUUAAUUCUGAGAGCUGGCAGUCAGUGAAAUAUCAAGGUGUGGUCAGGAAGAAAACAGAAAGGAACCCACGUAACCUGCUAACACCUUUUUUGUCCAGUCCUACCUUGAAUGUCUUAUUUGCAUGUAGUAGAGAUGGAUUCUGCUCAAGUUGGCCGCUGUUUACUGAGUACUUGCAGUGGGCCAAGUAUCAUACUAGCUGCUUUCGUAGAUGAACUUUGUGUCUUUACCAAAAAGGAGAUGGUACUGUCUUCAUGUUACAAGCCUGAGGAAACAGGCUCAUUACCUGGGCUGUGGUAAUACAGUCAUUCGCAGUAGAAUUUAAGCCUAGAUCGCUUAUCUCUCAAGUCCAAUCAGUGCUGUUUUGCAUUAUAUCUUGCUCCUGUUUCAGCCGGGAAGGGAAUGAGAGAAUCGCCUGUGGCUGAUUUAUUGGCGCCUGUGGUUGCCCAGAGAGGCCAAGCAGGACUUUCAGCUGCCCUCUAUGCCUUACAAAGUGGAGCUGUGAGCUUCCACCCUAUCUCCUGAGGGGAAUGUGAAGGAGCCAGGCUGUCUAGCUGGGGAGGAGGUGCCUUGGCCGUAAAAUAUCCUGGCCAGGGCUGUGCUGGGAAGUGUUGCAUAAUGUCCUCCCCACCACUGAACCAAAGUGAUUUAUUUGCUAUGGUCCGUAGGUGGUGCCUGACCAACUUGUCCAUUUUAGCAAUAACAGGGCCAGAAAAGAGUUGGGGGUUUUAUAUUAUUGCAGGGUUUUUCCUUGUUUUAAAAAAGCAGUGCAGGUGCUCUUAUCUUGAUAAGUUAUAAAGUGCUUCUUUCUGCACCACUUCCUGUGCCCCUUUUCUGUGUAUUUAUUCCAAAUAGCAUGUGAACUUCAGUCUUUUAAGAAGAGAAAGCUAAGAAAAUAUUGCUCCAGUUUAUUAGCACAGGCUAUGGAGACAGACCUGGCUUUUUAUCUCCACUUUAUACCAUUUGCUGAUUGUGUGUCCUAAGCUUAGGAUUUUUCCUCAUUUGUAAAAUGGAAAUGAAAAUAAUACAUUAGUCAUCACAGUGACGAUUUUAAGAGAUAGUGUAUAUAGAGCACUUAGCACAAGGCCUCGCAUAUAGUAUUUAUUAUAAUAAUAGGUUUUGAAAAUAACCAGAAUAGUAUUCUCCCUAAAAAGGAAAGAUAUUGCUACUUGAACCUGCUUAGGGAUAGAGGAGGAAGAAGAAAGUGUUUGUAACAAACAUCAGUUUCAGGAUUAUUGAUUAAAUUUUUUUAUACUUCUGGGGUUUUUUUUGUUUGUUUGUUUUUUGAGACAGAGUCUACCUCUGUCACCCAGGCUGGAGUGCAGUGGUGUAAUUUCAGCUCACUGCAGCCUCCGCCUCCUGCAUUCAAGCGAUUCUCUGGCUUCAGCCUCCCGAGUAGCUGGGAUUACAGGCGCCUGCCACCACACCUGGCUAAUUUUUGUAUUUUUAGUAGAGACAGGGUUUCGCCAUGUUGGCCAGGCGGGUCUUGAACUCCUGACCUCAAGUGAUCCGCCCACCUUGGCCUCCCAAAGUGCUGGGAUUAUAGGUGUGAGCCACUGUGCCUGGUCCAUGUUUUCUUUAUCCAUUUGACUAUCCAUGGACAUUUGAGUUUUUCCCCCUUAUUGGCAAUUCUUCUGCCUCAGCCUCCCAAGUAGCUGGGAUUACAGACGUCUGCCACCACGCCCAACUAAUUUUUGUAUUUUUAGUAGAGACGGUUUCACCAUAUUGGCCAGGCUGGUCUUGAACUCUGACCUCAGGUGAUCCACCCUCCUCGGCCUCCUAAAGUGCUGGGAUUAUAGGCAUUUAUUUACCGUUCUGCUUUCCCUUUGCUAGCAGGAAUUUUCUUUCUCUCUCUCUCUCUUUUUUUUUUUUUUUUUUUUUUGCUUUAUUGGGAGAAAAAGUGCUUAGAGUGUUCAGUUAUUUUUUAUAUUUUUCUAAUUCAUUUCUUCUCUGGUUACAAAUCAGUCAUGCAUGGAUGUUUUAUUUUUUCUGAAAUCUCCAAGCACUUUAAGCAAAGGUUUUUAUUAGCCCACUUGAGUAGUGUGUUCAUGGGAGUAUACUUCCAUUGCGAAAGAAGUAUUGGUUUACUUGUAUCCAGAAGUUUUAGUUACUCUUGCCUGUACUGUAUUCUAGGUCUGUACUAGCAUUAUAAUUUUCCAUCUUUCUCCUGUCCUUUGAGUACCUUAUUUUUUCUUUUAGAAAUUUGGUUUGUCUUUAAUGGACUGAGAGGAAUCUUUUCCUUUCUUUCUCCGGGUUCUGAUUUUUUUUAAAGGUCUAUUAACAAUUUGUGCUUACUGUUGUUAGUAUUCUUGUGUGCUUGGCUUUAUCAGGCAUCCUACAAUGUAAUGUUGGUUAGAUGGGAAUUAGAGGUGCUUGGAGGUUGGCUAUGUCUGCCAACAGGCAGGAGGCCCCAAACUAACGUUUCCCAGUUCCAUUAAAGGUUUCUAGAGCAUAACUACUCUUCCUGUUUCAUCUACCCCCUCCAUACCCUCUUUGCUAACAUUCUCAGUAGAUCUUAAUAAGCAGAUGUCUGGAAUUACAGCAGAUUUUACCUCAAACAGUAUUUUCAGAUUUAGAAUUUCUGUAUCAUUUUUAGGUGUUAUGAAAUCCAAUCUAGGUGUAAUGGAGUAAGAGAGUAAAUAUUUCUUUUUCCUAAAUACUAUUUGAAAAGAAGUCUGAAAAUAGUGUGUUCCUCCACCCCCCCACCCAUGCCCAUCCUGCCAGUUUAGG
rnacentral:lncRNA from 10 species